UCGAGCGGAAAGGCCCUUCGGGGUACUCGAGCGGCGAACGGGUGAGUAACACGUGAGCAACCUGCCCCAGGCUUUGGGAUAACCCCGGGAAACCGGGGCUAAUACCGAAUAUGACCUCCGAUCGCAUGGUUGGUGGUGGAAAGUUUUUCGGCUUGGGAUGGGCUCGCGGCCUAUCAGCUUGUUGGUGGGGUGAUGGCCUACCAAGGCGACGACGGGUAGCCGGCCUGAGAGGGCGACCGGCCACACUGGGACUGAGACACGGCCCAGACUCCUACGGGAGGCAGCAGUGGGGAAUAUUGCACAAUGGGCGGAAGCCUGAUGCAGCGACGCCGCGUGAGGGAUGACGGCCUUCGGGUUGUAAACCUCUUUCAGCAGGGACGAAGCGUAAGUGACGGUACCUGCAGAAGAAGCGCCGGCCAACUACGUGCCAGCAGCCGCGGUAAGACGUAGGGCGCGAGCGUUGUCCGGAUUUAUUGGGCGUAAAGAGCUCGUAGGCGGCUUGUCGCGUCGACUGUGAAAACCCGCAGCUCAACUGCGGGCCUGCAGUCGAUACGGGCAGGCUAGAGUUCGGUAGGGGAGACUGGAAUUCCUGGUGUAGCGGUGAAAUGCGCAGAUAUCAGGAGGAACACCGGUGGCGAAGGCGGGUCUCUGGGCCGAUACUGACGCUGAGGAGCGAAAGCGUGGGGAGCGAACAGGAUUAGAUACCCUGGUAGUCCACGCUGUAAACGUUGGGCGCUAGGUGUGGGGGGCCUCUCCGGUUCCCUGUGCCGCAGCUAACGCAUUAAGCGCCCCGCCUGGGGAGUACG
rnacentral:rRNA from 1 species